UACGUAGGGGGCAAGCGUUGUCCGGAAUUAUUGGGCGUAAAGAGCGCGUAGGCGGUCCGAUAAGUCGGCUGUGAAAGUCAGGGGCUCAACCCUUGGAAGCCGGCCGAUACUGUCGGACUAGAGUCCGGAAGAGGCGAGUGGAAUUCCCGGUGUAGCGGUGAAAUGCGCAGAUAUCGGGAGGAACACCAAUGGCGAAGGCAGCUCGCUGGGACGGUACUGACGCUGAGACGCGAAAGCGUGGGGAGCAAACAGGG
rnacentral:rRNA from 1 species